AAAUAAGUUUGUUAUUGGUAUGAGCUUUCAUGUGCAUGCACACUUAUUCAGAAGUAUCUGAAGAAGUGUGCAUGCACACAAAAGCUCAUACCAAAAACAAACUUAAAAAG